GGGUUGUUUCCUUCCUCCCUCGUUUCAUCAUUUGACACUCUCUCAGCCUCAAAAGAGAGACUCAAGGUCUCUUCAUUCUCAAACUAGGUUUGCCUCCUAGGAACGUCUCACGCUGCCACCACCCGACCAGCCACAGCUCCCAUCCGGCCAGUUCGAGGCGUUACCGGCGACAGUAAGCGUCACCGGAGCUGCUGCCGGCCACGGAGUCAGACCCCUUCCUCAAGUUCCUCGCCGCGCGCGAGAGGGAGACGUCCUCACCUUCCGUGAUUCGCCCCAUCUGCUGCCACAAUCUCCGAUCAAAAGGGCGCUGCGAGGGGGCUGUCCAUGGCGUCACCGGCGACACCACGCCCCCCCAAAGCCACCGCCGGCCACUCACGCACUCACCGCCCUCUCUCUCUGCUUCGAAAACGGUGACCCAGGGAAGGGUUUGCCUCUGCUGCCUGCUCGCUGCCGCCAAGCCAGAGUCGUCGCUCCUCGUCGAGCCCACCGCCGUCACCGAGGCUACCGCCAACGCGAUUCCACCGUUUAUUGAUCAGAGAAGACGACCACGGAGGCUUGUCGAGACAACGUUAGGGGGUUAACUCUUUUCACGGUUGCUUGGGGUGAACAAAGGCGACUUAGCUUCAAUAUCUGAUUUGGUUCGUGGUUACUGCGAUUGGCUCAGGUUUGGGUUGGAUCCUUUUUGCAGAUAAAUGGGAUCGGGAUUGUGUGAGGGAUUUUCUGACUAGCAAUACCUCUUGUUGUGGUUAUGGUCGAUGAUUGUGAGAACUUGGCUUAUGACUUGCUGGAAUUUUGCUUGGUGAUGUAGUGAAGGUUGAUGGAGUUUUGCCUCAGCGGCAGAGGCUUGGUAUUAGGCUGUGAAAUCUGUUUAGUUUUUUUGGUUACAGAUUGCAGAGGCAUUGACGUUGUGAUGUUUGAGGGGUUUGGCUGGGAUAUUGAUUUGGAUAGGGUGGUGAGGAGAGAAGUUGAUGGAGCAUGACGGCGUAUUAGGCAAGUUUGCCAUGGAAAUUGCAGAGGCUAAAAAAGAUGAAGAUGGUGGAUGUUGGGCAAAGGUGGCCAUUGAGAAUGAAGAGUGAGGGGGGUUCAUACACAAGGCCAAUAACCACAGGCAAAUAUAAUACGUAGUUCGUGAUACAGCCAUUCACAAUACAGCAUACAUUACAAGCGACUAUAUGAGCGAGAGAGAGAGUUACUUACCGGGCUUUGCUGUUGCUUGGUGUCCCCAGCUGCAGCAAUUGCAGCAGUGAAGUUGAUGCCGGCCAGUGAACCUUCAGAAAACCUCCCCCAGCCCGUGAUAGGAACCAGUUCUUUCUCUUUUUCAGAUGCUGGCCUCUCGUUUUCUUCCUCUGCUCAUGAAAUGGUGGACGCCAUCACAGAGACUGAGACUGAAUGAUGGUUGAAGAUGAAGGUCCAAAGAGUGUGCUCUCGCGGCGAUGAAAUAUUGGAGGUGAAUACUUGGAAGUGAAAAGAAAAAAAAAAAUUGGUUGGAGUCCAGAGGAGCAAAGAUAGUCUAGGGGUUUCUGUUGAGUGAGUCCAGAGUGAUUGGAGAAGCCGUCCCCCUCUUCUGUCUGAUGGUCAAGGUUCUCAUGAAGCCAAUUCCCCUCUGUCUCUUGGAUCAUACAGGCGUAUCCUCUGACUUGAGAUAUCUUUUUUUUGUCCUUUUCCUUCUUCAUGUUUUCACUGUAUCGCUGGAAGAAGCUUGUUCAAAAUAUCAUUCCCCUUUGAUGAAUGUUUUGUCUGUGCUUUGCGUUGCAGGAGAGUUGAAUGCACUGUGUUGUAAGGAAGCUAAAUUGGUGCUUGGUGAUUGCGUGACUGAGAAUGGAAAGAAAGCAACAGUCUGCGAUACCCUUUUUAUUUUCUUUUUCCUUAGAAUUUUUUGUUAACGUUUAACGUAAAAAAAAAAAACAAAAAUAAAACUAAA